rnacentral:lncRNA from 1 species
UGUGGCAGAAGAUCCAACCCAAACUGAGUUAGCAAAACCAGUUUCCAACGAAUCUGCUCUGAAAAUUCCAAAGAAUCUACCUAUUGAAGACUCCAGAUGAGACUGGGCAGCCAUCUCCAGUAAGACCUGUGUGAUGAAGGUUGUGUCCUGAGCCUGCCGGUCAGGCUGAAAGAGUCAGCAACCAACAAAUGAAGAUCCAGGAGUCUACCUCUCUCGAACCUGUGUGGAUCUAAUCAAACCUCGUGGGAAAGGUUGGGAGAACACAUCUCCACUCAGCUAUAGGAAAGCCAGAGAGCAUUUGAGAAGAGGC